CCACGCACUCCUACGGGAGGCAGCAGUGGGGAAUAUUGCACAAUGGGCGCAAGCCUGAUGCAGCCAUGCCGCGUGUAUGAAGAAGGCCUUCGGGUUGUAAAGUACUUUCAGCAGUGAGGAAGGUGGGUAUGUUAAUAGCAUACUCAUUUGACGUUAGCUGCAGAAGAAGCACCGGCUAACUCCGUGCCAGCAGCCGCGGUAAUACGGAGGGUGCGAGCGUUAAUCGGAAUUACUGGGCGUAAAGCGCAUGCAGGUGGUUUGUUAAGUCAGAUGUGAAAGCCCGGGGCUCAACCUCGGAAUUGCAUUUGAAACUGGCAAACUAGAGUACUGUAGAGGGGGUAGAAUUUCAGGUGUAGCGGUGAAAUGCGUAGAGAUCUGAAGGAAUACCGGUGGCGAAGGCGGCCCCCUGGACAGAUACUGACACUCAGAUGCGAAAGCGUGGGGAGCAAACAGGAUUAGAUACCCUGGGAG
rnacentral:rRNA from 1 species